rnacentral:rRNA from 1 species
AGAUCUAUUUAAUCCUGGUUGUGGGAGAGUCAGAAACAGAUUUACAUAAGGAGAUUCUGGUAGUCAGACAUAGUUUUGGUAAUUGUGUUUUCUUAGUAGUUAGAGCUUUAAGUUGAGGGUAACCUUGAUUGGGCUGUUUUUGAGUGAAGUGGUGAAUGCUCAGUGCCAGCAUCCGCGGUUAUUCUGUUAGCUUUUUCUCCUGGUUAGUUGGUGUAAAGUAUUUAGGACUAAGGUCUAGGUUUGAGUAUAAUCUUCCUGUUGUUGAUAAGAUGUUCUAGUUAUUUUGUCUCGUUAUUAUAGAAAAGGAUUAGAUACCCUUGUAUAUGCGAUUUUAUUUUGUCUCCUUAGUAUAAACUAAAAGGAUUUGGCAGCCGAUGAGGUUCUACCGGGGGAACGUGUAUUGUAAUAGAUAGUCCGCUUAGUAGUUGACCCCUUUUAAGUUUGUUAGUGUAUAUCCGGUUUAAGAUUUGUGAUUAGUGUCAACGAGUGUAAUUGUGUACUAUUUAAGCCAGGUCAAUGUGCUGCUAAUAUUGGGGGGUUUAUGCGUUACUUUGUUAAAAUUGUUAUUGUGUAAGGUAGUAGCCGUAUUUAGGACUCGGAAGUAGGUGGGAUGUUUGUAAAUAUUAGUUAGGUUUUCCUAUCGAAUAGGAUUUAGUUGGGGUACACACCGCCCGUCACCCAGGGUGUUAGCUGUGGUAAGUCGUAACAUGGUAAUGUUGGGGGAACCCGACGUUAGUUGUCUUGUGAGUUUAUAUUGCGGGCU